CACCACUCAAGCCUCGCUUGGUAUUGGGCAACGCGGUCCGCCGCGUGCCUCAAAUCGACCGGCUGGGUCUUCUGUCCCCUAAGCGUUGUGGAAACUAUUCGCUAAAGGUGGCUCGGGAGGCCACGCCGAAAAACAAACCCAUUUCUAA
rnacentral:misc_RNA from 1 species